rnacentral:rRNA from 1 species
GACAGAGGGGCAAGCGUUGCUCGGAAUCACUGGGCGUAAAGGGCGCGUAGGCGGGAUGGCAAGUCGGUCGUGAAAUCCCUCGGCUCAACCGAGGAACGUCGGCCGAUACUGCCGUUCUUGAGGGAUGCAGAGGAGACUGGAAUUCCCGGUGUAGCGGUGAAAUGUGUAGAGAUCGGGAGGAACACCGGUGGCGAAGGCGGGUCUCUGGGCAUUCCCUGACGCUGAGGCGCGAAAGCUAGGGGAGCGAACA